CUUGUUUUCUGCAAUACCAGCAGAACAUCUAAAUCCUGUUUUAUCAAAUAUGUCAGCUCUUAUUUCUUCAACUAUAAGUCCCGCUAUUGCGAGUUUUUGCGCUUCUAUGUCUUCAAGAUUCUCGAAAACGUUCAUUAUCCAAGUUUUUGUACCUUUACUUCUCUCUUCUAAAUCCAUACCAUAUAAAAGCCCAUAUCAUCUUCAUCAUUUUUUCCAACUUCUGAAUAUCCUACUACAAAAGUAUUUGAAAGCUGUGUCACUAAAUGAUUCAAAGAAAUAGAAUAUGUAGACAUCUUUUUACAAACCAAGUCAGUAAUAUCUAAAUAUGCUUCAUCCACACUAGCACGUUCUAUUAUAUUGCAAUGUUUCUUUAUAACAUUAAUAACUUCACGACCAGCACUUCUAU
rnacentral:misc_RNA from 1 species